rnacentral:rRNA from 1 species
GAGUUUGAUCAUGGCUCAGGACGAACGCUGGCGGCGUGCUUAACACAUGCAAGUCGAACGAAGCACCUCGGACAGAUUCUUCGGAUGAAGUUCUUGAUGACUGAGUGGCGGACGGGUGAGUAACGCGUGGGUAACCUGCCUCAUACAGGGGGAUAACAGUUAGAAAUGGCUGCUAAUACCGCAUAAGCGCACGGUACUGCAUGGUACAGUGUGAAAAACUCCGGUGGUAUGAGAUGGACCCGCGUUGGAUUAGCUAGUUGGCAGGUAACGCCUACCAAAGCGACGAUCCAUAGCCGGCCUGAGAGGGUGAACGGCCACAUUGGGACUGAGACACGGCCCAGGCUCCUACGGGAGCAGCA